rnacentral:rRNA from 1 species
GAAGAGAGAGUUAAAGAGGACGUGAAACCGAUAAGAUGGAAACGGAUAGAGUUAGCGUAUCUGAUCUGCAUUCAGCCAUUUGGUGGUUGAUAGCCUGGUGGUUGGCACCAGAUUGGGCUGAUACCGGGUGUUUUUGGCUGCCAAAUGGUGCAUUUGUAGGUCGAGUGCGUCGAGGCGUUCGGCAAAGUGGCAUGAUGCUGGUUUUGAGGCCAUUCCGCAAGGACAUGGUACCCAAAUUGGGGGAGUGCUAUUUUUGCUGGGCGAUCAAAGAGCAUGGCACACGGGUUUGGGUUUGUUUCAAGUUGGGUGCCGGUUACGGUCGCGUGCGACACGUGCCAGUCUCUGGUUUGAACGGAUCUCGGCUCCCGUGCUUGUCCUCGAUGUAAAAGCUGGUCAUCUAUCCGACCCGUCUUGAAACACGGACCAAGGAGUUUAGCGUGUUCGCGAGUCAUUGGGUAUUGAAAACCCAAGGGCGAAAUGAAAGUGAAGGUACUCGCAAGAGGCUGACGUGUGAUCCUGUGCACCUUGGUGUACAGGCGCAACAUGGCCCCGUCCCAAUUGCAUGCAAUGGGGCGGAGGCAGAGCGUAUGCGCUGAGACCCGAAAGAUGGUGAACUAUUCCUGAGCAGGAUGAAGCCAGAGGAAACUCUGGUGGAAGUCCGAAGCGAUUCUGACGUGCAAAUCGAUCGUCUGACUGGGUAUAGGGGCGAAAGUACUAAUCGAACCA